rnacentral:lncRNA from 1 species
AGUGGUUCUGAAGCUUUAGCAGGCAUUAGAAUCACCUGGAGAGCUUGUUCACGGCAGAUUACUAGGUCCUAGCCUCAGAGUUCCUGAUCCCGUAGGUCUGGGGUAAAACCCAAGAAUUUGCGUUUCAAGCAAGUUCCCUGGUGAUACUAAAGCUGCUCGUCUAGAGAUGAUGCUUUGUGAACCAAACCAUGUCAUCGCUGACAUUUUGAGACGUUACAGCAUUGGAUUCGAAAACUGAAAAUUAGACAAGGAACCUGAAUUGCAGCGCCAAGAGAGAAGUAUGGAUUCCAGAUGUUGAUUUUGGAAUCAUCAGUAGAGGAUGUUUACUGAAACAUGUGAACGGAAGUGUUUUCUCCAGAAGAGAGAUUAAAGAAUGAAAAUAGAGGUCUAUGGGGAGAGAAUCCUUGAAAGGAAACUGAGAAGUACUGAAGAAAGUUGUAUGUAUGUAGGAGGAAACCCAGAUGAGAGUCGUGUCCGAAAAACUGCGAGAGAAGGAGUUGAGGAAGGGGAGGGAGUGGCCCAUAUGUCACAGGCUGGAGAGAAACCUUCAGAAAUAAAAACUGAAAUGUGGCCCAUGUAUUUCAUGAAUUUAGCAGCUAGGUCUCUGGGUCCGUGGCAGAAGCAGUUUCCUGAACUGGUGGAGACAGUCAGCUUACAAGGCACCAAGGAGUGAACAGAACAUGCAAUGAUAGGAAAUAAGAACCUUUGUUCCUAAGGAUAAAAAGAUAAGGUCGUAUCCAGAGGUGGGACUGUGGAUUGUCAAUGUUGUUGUUUUAAGAAGGCAAAUAUUUGAGUAUGCUUAUGAAAGAAAAGGCUAUUGUGGUGAGGGGGAGGUUGAAAUGGCAGGGUAUGGGAGUGAGAGCCUAACAAUGGAUUUCGUUAUCUACAGUAAAGCUGUGCAUUGUGGUCGGCAGAGCCAUGCC